rnacentral:rRNA from 1 species
AUUGAACGCUGGCGGCAGGCCUAACACAUGCAAGUCGAACGGUAACAGGAAGCAGCUUGCUGCUUUGCUGACGAGUGGCGGACGGGUGAGUAAUGUCUGGGAAACUGCCUGAUGGAGGGGGAUAACUACUGGAAACGGUAGCUAAUACCGCAUAACGUCGCAAGACCAAAGAGGGGGACCUUAGGGCCUCUUGCCAUCGGAUGUGCCCAGAUGGGAUUAGCUAGUAGGUGGGGUAACGGCUCACCUAGGCGACGAUCCCUAGCUGGUCUGAGAGGAUGACCAGCCACACUGGAACUGAGACGCGGUCCAGACUCCUACGGGAGGCAGCAGUGGGGAAUAUUGCACAAUGGGCGCAAGCCUGAUGCAGCCAUGCCGCGUGUAUGAAGAAGGCCUUCGGGUUGUAAAGUACUUUCAGCGGGGAGGAAGGGAGUAAAGUUAAUACCUUUGCUCAUUGACGUUACCCGCAGAAGAAGCACCGGCUAACUCCGUG